UAUUGCAAGCGGACCUCUUGAGUUUGAGGCCAGUCAGACUCGAAGAGUCCUUGUCUCAGAAAACAGACAAACAACCCCACCCCAGCCCCAAAACACGAGCUAGUGGUUGAAUUUAUAAGGGAGAACUUUUAACAGCCUGAUGUAAGCCACUUUCUCAAUACUACAAUUCUCUGUAUCUCAACAAAUAAGUUUUGCAGCUUGCCAGGACUUUCCUUACAUCUCGAUGAUAUCAAGAACUGCUUUUCUAUAAGGUGAGCUCAGCUUUCCAGAGAGGGUUAUCUGUUUGGAGAGAUUGUUCCAGAGCCACAUGGAUGUCAAAAUCUUGGAACGGUAAAGUUUUUUACUUUAAAGACUGUUGUAGUGUUUAUUGUCCACACCCUACAGCAUCUGCUCUUGGGACUCUCCCUGUGAGAGCCAGCCCUCUGCCAGGGCAACCCAGUCUAGAAAAGCUUCUUUACUUUAAAAGUUGCCUCAAAAGAAACUCAGAAUUAUAUCACUCCAGAGUUUAUGCCAGCAUUGACAUUCACUAGGGGCAAAAUGCAAAACGUGAGAGUUAAUUGUGGAAUAGAAUAGGAAUUCUGGCUAAGUAAAAUUUAGCUGCAUAAUUACAUAAGAAAGUAACUGUCAAAAAAAAAAAAAAAAAAAGAAAGUAACUGUCUUUUUCUCUGAAGUUUUACAACUUAUUUGGUUCCACAAUGAACUACAUACAGUUCUGAAAAAAUAAGAUUUUACUUGAACUAUGCAUACUGUGAACUAUAUAUUUUUGUGUCAGUUUUGGUAUUAUAUCUUUCAAAUUUUAACUUAUUUUUAUGUCUAUGGACAUGGGUGUUUUACUUUCAUACAUAUGUGUGUGCACAUAUAAACGCCUGGUGUCUACUGAGGUCAGAAGUGGGUGUCAGAUCUCUGGAGCUGGAGUUACAAAUGGUCGUGAGCUUCGAUGUUGGUGCUUGGAGUUGAACUCAGUGCUCCUGUGUCUGAGAGAUUGCGUUUUGUCACAGGGAUAGUGAGAAAUACCUAUCUGAAAGGUCCUCCUGGGUAUUUUCACUCGUGUGCUGAGUAGGCUGGCGUGGAGAUACGCUGUUCACAGCAAACAUGCAGUGGGCUCUGCGGUUCUCUCCUUGGUUCAGUCCCAUCAGUGUUCUCAUUCUGAAGUGUCUUUCUAGGUUCUACUGUUUUUCCCAGCGCUUGGCACAGAACUGUUUCAGGUUUAUACUUUGCAUUCCACUUACCUCCUGUUGUUGGCAACACCAGUGUAACCGUGAACUAGGCUAAAGGUUUACAUUUUCAGUUACUUUGCUCUAGAUUGUGCUGUAUAAGCACGAGGGCCUAUAUUUAGUUUUGAGUUCAUAUGUGUAUUUUUAAGUUAAUAAUGACUUAAGUUGUAAAAGCAGCCUGAAGUUUGUCUUAAAAUUUCAUGUCCUUGGCUUUAGGAUUCAGUCAUUUAAAAAAAAAAAAAACUU
rnacentral:lncRNA from 1 species